GCCUUAUGCCUGAAAGGGCGACGGGCUUGUCCGGAGCGAGAAGUCAGCAGCGGUCGUAGUAGUCGGGGCGACCUGACGAAGGGC
rfam:Variovorax sp. HW608 genome assembly, chromosome: I